rnacentral:rRNA from 1 species
UGGAAGUAAAAGUCGUAACAAGGUCUCCGUUGGUGAACCAGCGGAGGGAUCAUUACUGAGUUUACGCUCUACAACCCUUUGUGAACAUACCUAUAACUGUUGCUUCGGCGGGUAGGGUCUCCGUGACCCUCCCGGCCUCCCGCCCCCGGGCGGGUCGGCGCCCGCCGGAGGAUAACCAAACUCUGAUUUAACGACGUUUCUUCUGAGUGGUACAAGCAAAUAAUCAAAACUUUUAACAACGGAUCUCUUGGUUCUGGCAUCGAUGAAGAACGCAGCGAAAUGCGAUAAGUAAUGUGAAUUGCAGAAUUCAGUGAAUCAUCGAAUCUUUGAACGCACAUUGCGCCCGCCAGCAUUCUGGCGGGCAUGCCUGUUCGAGCGUCAUUUCAACCCUCAAGCUCUGCUUGGUGUUGGGGCCCUACAGCUGAUGUAGGCCCUCAAAGGUAGUGGCGGACCCUCCCGGAGCCUCCUUUGCGUAGUAACUUUACGUCUCGCACUGGGAUCCGGAGGGACUCUUGCCGUAAAACCCCCAAUUUUCCAAAGGUUGACCUCGGAUCA